GGGUGUGUAGGAAAAUUGGUAUCCCCUCGAGACUGUAAAUUUCGCGUCCCUCGUGACAUUGCUGGUUCAAGUCCAGCCGCACCCACCA
rnacentral:tRNA from 1 species